UGAAUCAUGACUUUCUGGGCGGUCUGUUUGCUGUAACCAGAAUCAUCAAGAGCUUUGAUCACUGCAUCUACCACACCAAAACCAAGUUUCUCUGCCAUGAAUGAAGCACGCUGCAAAAAUCCAAAAGGGGAGUAAAUCAAGACUGAAGACACUCAACAGGAAAUACAGGACAUGGGAAGUGUUACAUCGAAGCCUCACCCAAAACCAAAAUUCAAUAACUCUGAGUUAGCACAUUACCACCAAAAUAUGGGUUUGCACUAUAUGCUUCCCCUUCCCAUAUAUUUAAAUGCUUACCUCCACUGUAAUCAUGAUUCCUGCCAAAUCCUCUCCUUUUGCAAACGUUAAGAAGUCUGAUAAUUUCAUGAAA